rnacentral:misc_RNA from 1 species
AGAACACCUUCAAAAAUUGCAUCUAUUGCUUUCUUUCUUGAUUUUGACCGGUGUGCUUUGGCAGAGGCCCUGAGAAAAGUAUUGAAAGAGAAAUCUUCUUCCUGAAACUUUCAAUGUCAUAUUCAACUGCUGAUUGUAUCAUGCAGUUUUUGUUUAUCUAUUUUCUUAAUGAUUGAUUGAGUUUCUCCUUCUUUGUUACUGACCGCAACUUCAGUAUCCAUGAUAGAAGUGCAAGACUAAAGUUUAACAUAAAACCAACCAAUGAAAUACAAGGUUGCAAAAUUCAAAGUAGGACUUUGUGGAUAAAUAGAUUCUAAAGAUGAUGGAUCAUUUCCUUAUUCACCGUAGGAUGAUGUCUUAUCCUUCACUAUUUUUUUUAAAUAAUGAAAAAAUAUUAUUGCUUUAUUUUUUGACAUUUGGGGCAUCUAAUGCUUGAUCUCCGAAAUGUUGGAGGGUUGCAGUAAAUUGUACCAACCGUUCCUCAAUUUAGGUGUUUAUUUCAUUUCAGUUAUCUGACUUCAUUUUGUUAAAAUAAAAU